rnacentral:rRNA from 1 species
GACGAACGCUGGCGGCGUGCUUAACGCAUGCAAGUCGAACGAAGAGCGAUGGAAGCUUGCUUCUAUCAAUCUUAGUGGCGAACGGGUGAGUAACGCGUAAUCAACCUGCCCUUCAGAGGGGGACAACAGUUGGAAACGACUGCUGAUACCGCAUACGAUCUAAUCUCGGCAUCGAGGAUGGAUGAAAGGUGGCCUCUAUUUAUAAGCUAUCACUGAAGGAGGGGAUUGCGUCUGAUUAGCUAGUUGGAGGGGUAACGGCCCACCAAGGCGAUGAUCAGUAGCCGGUCUGAGAGGAUGAACGGCCACAUUGGGACUGAGACACGGCCCAGACUCCUACGGGAGGCAGCAGUGGGGAAUCUUCCGCAAUGGACGAAAGUCUGGCGGAGCAACGCCGCGUGAGUGAUGACGGCCUUCGGGUUGUAAAGUUCUGUUAAUCGGGACGAAAGGCCUUCUUGCGAAUAGUUAGAAGGAUUGACGGUACCGGAAUAGAAAGCCACGGCUAACUACGUGCCAGCAGCCGCGGUAAUACGUAGGUGGCAAGCGUUGUCCGGAAUUAUUGGGCGUAAAGCGCCGCGCAGGCGGAUUGGUCAGUCUGUCUUAAAAGUUCGGGGCUUAACCCCGUGAUGGGAUGGAAACUGCCAAUCUAGAGUAUCGGAGAGGAAAGUGGAAUUCCUAGUGUAGCGGUGAAAUGCGUAA